GUGCCAGCAGCCGCGGUAAUACCAGCUCUCCGAGUUGUGGGGACGUUUAUUGAGCCUGAAGCAUCCGUAGCCGGCUGUGCAAGUCCCCUGUUAAAUCCAGCGACUAAUCGUUGGCCUGCGGGGGAUACUGCUCGGCUAGGGGGCGGGAGAGGCCGUCGGUAUUCUUGGGGUAGGGGUGAAAUCCUAUAAUCCCAGGAGGACCACCAGUGGCGAAGGCUGUCGGCUAGAACGCGCCCGACGGGGAGGGAUGAAAGCUGGGGGAGCGAACCGGAUUAGAUACCCGGGUAGUCCCAGCUGUAAACGAUGCAGGCUAGGUGUUAGGGCGGCUACGUGCCGCUCUAGUGCCGCAGGGAAGCUGUUAAGCCUGCCGCUUGGGGAGUACGGCCGCAAGGCUGAAACUCAAAUGAAUUGACGGGG
rnacentral:rRNA from 1 species